UCACUAUGCCUGUAAGUGUCGCCAACUGAAUAUACACAUUGGAAAUGUGCGUACGCCAGACAUGAAGUUUGCGUGGAGGACCGCACAUUCUCACGUUCAAGUCAGUCUUCGUACAUCCGGACGUGAGCGUCAGAAGUGGCG